rnacentral:rRNA from 1 species
CGCAUCUGUGCAUGCAGCAUAUCAAUAAGCGGAGGAAAAGAAACUAACAAGGAUUCCCCUAGUAACGGCGAGUGAAGCGGGAAGAGCUCAAAUUUGAAAUCUUAAAGGGUUUCCCUCUACGAAUUGUAGUUUAAAGAAGUGUUUUCUGUUGAGGUUUUGGUAAAAGUUCUUUGGAAUAGGACAUCAUAGAGGGUGAGAAUCCCGUAUUUGACCUUUACUUUCAACUUUGUGAUACACUUUCAAAGAGUCGGAUUGUUUGGGAAUGCAGUCCAAAAUGGGUGGUAAAUUUCAUCUAAAGCUAAAUAUUGGCGAGAGACCGAUAGCGAACAAGUACCGUGAGGGAAAGAUGAAAAGAACUUUGAAAAGAGAGUCAAACAGUACGUGAAAUUGUCAAAAGGGAAGCGUUUGACACCAGUGUUGUUUUUCUGAAAAUCAAUUAAAGAACUGUUUAUGCUAAGCUGUUUAGACUUUAUCAGCUAUCUGUUUAGUUUUGAGCUUUUCUUUAAUGCACUUUUCAGUUAACAAGUCAACAUCAAUUUCUUUUGCUGUAAAAAAGCUUGAGGAAGGUGGCUUGAGAUUCGUCUUAAGUGUUUAUAGCCUCUUGCCUAUGCAGUCGGAGAGAUCGAUGUCUGCAGCGUAGAUCCUUCGGGGCUAAAUGCAUUUGUGCUAAGUUAUAGCAUUUUAUAGACAACUUGUUGACUAUGAUUUGUCUUGUAGCUUACUCGCUUAUGUUAUUUUACCUACGCUUAGGAUGUUGAGUCGUAGAGCACGCAG